UUCUUAUAGAAAUUAUUAUAAGUAAAGCCUGCUCAAUGAACAUUUUAAUAGCCGCAGAUCCCUCUGUGCUAAGGUAGCAUAAUCAUUUGUCUUAUAAUUAAAGACUAGUAUGAAAGGUAUCACGUUUAUUUAACUAUUUAAAAUUUAUAAAAAUUAAAUUUUAUUAAAUAUAAAAAUAUAUUUAUACAAAAAAAAGACGACAAGACCCUAUCGAACUUCACUAAAGUUUAACUGGGACAGUUAAUUAAUAAAAUUUUAAUUAAACAAUAAAAACGAUCCAUAAUAAUGAAAUUUAAUCAAGUUACCGUAGGGAUAACAGCGCAAUAUAUUUUAAAAGCUCUCAUUUUAAAAUAAGAUUACGACCUCGAUGUUGAAUUAAUAAAUCUAGUAUAGUGCAACGACUUACAAAGAAGGUCUGUUCGACCUUUAAUAUAUUACA
rnacentral:rRNA from 1 species